rnacentral:rRNA from 1 species
GGGUUGUGAGGUUAAGCGACCAAGCGUACACGGUGGAUGCCCUGGCAGUCAGAGGCGAUGAAGGACGUGCUAAUCUGCGAAAAGCGCCGGUAAGGUGAUAUGAACCGUUAUAAGCGGCGAUGUCCGAAUGGGGAAACCCAGUGUGAUUUGUCACACUAUCAUUAACUGAAUCCAUAGGUUAAUGAGGCGAACCGGGGGAACUGAAACAUCUAAGUACCCCGAGGAAAAGAAAUCAACCGAGAUUCCCCCAGUAGCGGCGAGCGAACGGGGAGGAGCCCAGAGCCUGAAUCAGCAUGUGUGUUAGUGGAAGCGUCUGGAAAGGCGCGCGAUACAGGGUGACAGCCCCGUACACAAAAGCGCACGUGCUGUGAGCUCGAUGAGUAGGGCGGGACACGUGGUAUCCUGUCUGAAUAUGGGGGGACCAUCCUCCAAGGCUAAAUACUCCUGACUGACCGAUAGUGAACCAGUACCGUGAGGGAAAGGCGAAAAGAACCCCGGCGAGGGGAGUGAAACAGAACCUGAAACCGUGUACGUACAAGCAGUGGGAGCCCCACCACUAAGCCAGUGGUGAACUCCACAUACGCAUCCUUUGCUGAGGAUACGGUGAGAGGGGCGAAGGCGACGGGCAGCCGCAAAAGAAGCAGAGGGGGCUUAGUGGGGGGGUGACUGCGUACCUGUUGUAUAAUGGGUCAGCGACUUAUAUUCUGUAGCAAGGUUAAACGCAUAGGGGAGCCGGAGGGAAACCGAGUCUUAAUUGGGCGUUAAGAUGCCGGGUAUAGACCCGAAACCCGGUGAUCUAGCCAUGGGCAGGUUGAAGGUUGGGUAACACUAACUGGAGGACCGAACCGACUAAUGUUGAAAAAUUAGCGGAUGACCUGUGGCUGGGGGUGAAAGGCCAAUCAAACCGGGAGAUAGCUGGUUCUCCCCGAAAGCUAUUUAGGUAGCGCCUCGUGAAUUCAUCUCCGGGGGUAGAGCACUGUUUCGGCCAGGGGGCCAUCCCGGCUUACCAAUCCGAUGCAAACUGCGAAUACCGGAGAAUGUUAUCACGGGAGACACACGGCGGGUGCUAACGUCCGUCGUGAAGAGGGAAACAACCCAGACCGCCAGCUAAGGUCCCAAAGUCAUGGUUAAGUGGGAAACGAUGUGGGAAGGCCCAGACAGCCAGGAUGUUGGCUUAGAAGCAGCCAUCAUUUAAAGAAAGCGUAAUAGCUCACUGGUCGAGUCGGCCUGCGCGGAAGAUGUAACGGGGCUAAACCAUGCACCGAAGCUGCGGCAGCGAACGUAUCACCCAAGACAACUUUGCACAGUUGACGAUUGACGGAGCGAAGCGACGUCAAAGCGUUUUACAACGUCGAGUUGGCUUAGGGAUACGUUCGUUGGGUAGGGGAGCGUUCUGUAAGCCGUUGAAGGUGGCCUGUGAGGGUUGCUGGAGGUAUCAGAAGUGCGAAUGCUGACAUAAGUAACGAUAAAGCGGGUGAAAAGCCCGCUCGCCGGAAGACCAAGGGUUCCUGUCCAACGUUAAUCGGGGCAGGGUGAGUCGACCCCUAAGGCGAGGCCGAAAGGCGUAGUCGAUGGGAAACGGGUUAAUAUUCCCGUACUUGGUGUUACUGCGAAGGGGGGACGGAGAAGGCUAUGUUGGCCGGGCGACGGUUGUCCCGGUUUAAGCGUGCAGGUGUGUGUUCCAGGUAAAUCCGGUUCACUUUAACACUGAGGCGUGACGACGAGGCACCACGGUGCUGAAGCAACAAAUGCCCUGCUUCCAGGAAAAGCCUCUAAGCCUCAGGUAACAUCAAAUCGUACCCCAAACCGACACAGGUGGUCAGGUAGAGAAUACCAAGGCGCUUGAGAGAACUCGGGUGAAGGAACUAGGCAAAAUGGUGCCGUAACUUCGGGAGAAGGCACGCUGACACGUAGGUGAAGUGGUUUACCCAUGGAGCUGAAGUCAGUCGAAGAUACCAGCUGGCUGCAACUGUUUAUUAAAAACACAGCACUGUGCAAACACGAAAGUGGACGUAUACGGUGUGACGCCUGCCCGGUGCCGGAAGGUUAAUUGAUGGGGUCAGCGCAAGCGAAGCUCCUGAUCGAAGCCCCGGUAAACGGCGGCCGUAACUAUAACGGUCCUAAGGUAGCGAAAUUCCUUGUCGGGUAAGUUCCGACCUGCACGAAUGGCGUAAUGAUGGCCAGGCUGUCUCCACCCGGGACUCAGUGAAAUUGAACUCGCUGUGAAGAUGCAGUGUACCCGCGGCAAGACGGAAAGACCCCGUGAACCUUUACUAUAGCUUGACACUGAACACUGGUCCUUGAUGUGCAGGAUAGGUGGGAGGCUUUGAAGUGUGGACGCCAGUCUGCAUGGAGCCAUCCUUGAAAUACCACCCUUUAAUGGCUGGUGUUCUAACGUGGGCCCCUGACCGGGGUUGCGGACAGUGUCUGGUGGGUAGUUUGACUGGGGCGGUCUCCUCCUAAAGAGUAACGGAGGAGCACGAAGGUUGGCUAAUCCUGGUCGGACAUCAGGAGGUUAGUGCAAUGGCAUAAGCCAGCUUGACUGCGAGCGUGACGGCGCGAGCAGGUGCGAAAGCAGGUCAUAGUGAUCCGGUGGUUCUGAAUGGAAGGGCCAUCGCUCAACGGAUAAAAGGUACUCCGGGGAUAACAGGCUGAUACCGCCCAAGAGUUCAUAUCGACGGCGGUGUUUGGCACCUCGAUGUCGGCUCAUCACAUCCUGGGGCUGAAGUAGGUCCCAAGGGUAUGGCUGUUCGCCAUUUAAAGUGGUACGCGAGCUGGGUUUAGAACGUCGUGAGACAGUUCGGUCCCUAUCUGCCGUGGGCGCUGGAAGAUUGAGGGGGGCUGCUCCUAGUACGAGAGGACCGGAGUGGACGCAUCACUGGUGUUCGGGUUGUCAUGCCAAUGGCACUGCACGGUAGCUACAUGCGGAAGAGAUAAGUGCUGAAAGCAUCUAAGCACGAAACUUGCCCCGAGAUGAAUCUUCCCUGAGCCUUUAAGGCUCCUGAAGGAACGUUGAAGACGACGACGUUGAUAGGCCGGGUGUGUAAGCGCAGCGAUGCGUUGAGCUAACCGGUACUAAUGAACCGUGAGGCUUAACCUUACAACGCCGAAG